rnacentral:lncRNA from 1 species
AUCCUCCUUGGCCACCGGGAGGCGGUGCGGGACCAUGGUGCCGGCUUCGCGCACAACCGCACUCACUGUGGGGAAGAGAACUCCGCAGGCUGAGCAGCUGCGGAAUUAGAGCGUCGGAGAGAGACUGGAUCUUGCCUUCUUGCGCGGAUUAAUCCUCGCUGUCUCCACAGCCCGAAAAAGGCCCAGGACGGGCAGAGCAAAGGAAACAGCCAGGUCGCCCGGGACUCAUGCCUCAGUACCAGCCCAAGGCGGCCCAAGCCUCGGAAGAUUCCCCGCUGGGGUCACAAGACAGCGCGCAGGGAAACACGAGCCUGGAGCACCGGGCUCCCCCGGUGGCCCGCGGAAGGCGAAGAGCAAGUGGGUCCGGAGAACGUUGGUAAGUAGGUGUCGGCGCGACCCGGGAGGCGGACUCCAUGGAGAAAGGAUGCGCGCGGGCCGGAGUCGCUGGCAGGAGGAUAGCGGAGAGCAAUCGGCUUCGGAACCUUUGAUUCUGAUCCCCGAGCCCCGGCGGUUGUACGCGCGAGUUAACAAGUGUGCAAUUACUUGUGCAACUAGCGUGUGCGCGUGGGCACUUACAUGCUCCUGAGGAGGGUGGGUGCAAGGAGCUUCACCGAGCACACAAAGAGCGCUUAGACCUGGAACAUUUAAAUCGGGAGGGAAAAGAGGAAAAGGUGUUGUGAGCCUGGGGAGAAGGAUGCGGGAUUAAGAGCGCGAUCUCGUCUGGGUCUGGACGCCGGUGCUCCGCUAAGGGACCCGCCAGAGCGGGAUGCGCGGGGAGGGUGAGCUCCCGGGCCCGCUUCUCGCCCAUUCUCCGCAGAACUUUUCCCCCCUCCCUCUUCCCUCGCUCUGCCUCUCUCGGGGCGGUCUCCAGGGACUGUCUCUCACAUCCAUUCUCCUUUCCUCCUUGAUUUAUGCUGCAGAGUGGAACGACCUU